rnacentral:rRNA from 1 species
UACAGAGGUGGCAAGCGUUGUUCGGAAUUACUGGGCGUAAAGGGCGCGUAGGCGGCCAUCUAAGUCAGACGUGAAAUCCCCCGGACUUAACCUGGGAACUGCGUCUGAUACUGGACGGCUUGAGUAUGGGAGAGGGAUGUAGAAUUCCAGGUGUAGCGGUGAAAUGCGUAGAUAUCUGGAGGAAUACCGGUGGCGAAGGCGGCAUCCUGGACCAUUACUGACGCUGAUGCGCGAAAGCGUGGGGAGCAAACGGGG